UAGAGUUUGAUCCUGGCUCAGGAUGAACGCUAGCGACAGGCUUAACACAUGCAAGUCGAGGGGCAGCGGUGGUGAAGGCUUGCCUUUACCAGCCGGCGACCGGCGCACGGGUGAGUAACACGUAUGCAACCUGCCUGCCACAGCCGGAUAAUCGGGAGAAAUUCCGUCUAAUACGGCAUAAUGCAUCGACGGGACAUCCUGUUGGUGCCAAAGGUUGAUUCCGGUGGCGGAUGGGCAUGCGUCGCAUUAGUUAGUUGGCGGUGUAACGGACCACCAAGACGACGAUGCGUAGGGGUUCUGAGAGGAAGGUCCCCCACACUGGUACUGAGACACGGACCAGACUCCUACGGGAGGCAGCAGUGAGGAAUAUUGGUCAAUGGGCGGGAGCCUGAACCAGCCAAGUCGCGUGAGGGAUGACGGCCCUAUGGGUUGUAAACCUCUUUUGCCGGGGAGCAAAGUGCCGCACGUGUGCGGUUUGGAGAGUACCCGGAGAAAAAGCAUCGGCUAACUCCGUGCCAGCAGCCGCGGUAAUACGGAGGAUGCGAGCGUUAUCCGGAUUUAUUGGGUUUAAAGGGUGCGUAGGCGGACGCUUAAGUCAGCGGUAAAAUUGCGGGGCUCAACCUCGUCGAGCCGUUGAAACUGGGUGCCUUGAGUGGGCGAGAAGUACGCGGAAUGCGUGGUGUAGCGGUGAAAUGCAUAGAUAUCACGCAGAACUCCGAUUGCGAAGGCAGCGUACCGGCGCCCAACUGACGCUGAAGCACGAAGGCGUGGGUAUCGAACAGGAUUAGAUACCCUGGUAGUCCACGCAGUAAACGAUGAAUGCUAGUUGUCCGGGGCGAUUGAGUUCUGGGUGACACAGCGAAAGCGUUAAGCAUUCCACCUGGGGAGUACGCCGGCAACGGUGAAACUCAAAGGAAUUGACGGGGGCCCGCACAAGCGGAGGAACAUGUGGUUUAAUUCGAUGAUACGCGAGGAACCUUACCCGGGCUCAAACGCAGGAGGGAUGUUUUUGAAAGGAGGCAGCCAGCAAUGGUCUCCUGCGAGGUGCUGCAUGGUUGUCGUCAGCUCGUGCCGUGAGGUGUCGGCUUAAGUGCCAUAACGAGCGCAACCCCUACCUACAGUUGCCAUCGCGUGAUGGCGGGCACUCUGUGGGGACUGCCUGCGCAAGCAGUGAGGAAGGCGGGGAUGACGUCAAAUCAGCACGGCCCUUACGUCCGGGGCGACACACGUGUUACAAUGGCAGGUACAGCGGGAAGCCACCCGGCGACGGGGCGCGGAACCCGAAAACCUGUCUCAGUUCGGAUUGGAGUCUGCAACCCGACUCCAUGAAGCUGGAUUCGCUAGUAAUCGCGCAUCAGCCACGGCGCGGUGAAUACGUUCCCGGGCCUUGCACUCACCGCCCGUCA
rnacentral:rRNA from 1 species